rnacentral:rRNA from 1 species
GGGGUUGUAGGACACUCUAUACGGAGUUACAAAGGACGACAUUAGACGAAUCAUCUGGAAAGAUGAAUCAAAGAAGGUAAUAAUCCUGUAGUCGAAAAUGUUGUCUCUCUUGAGUGGAUCCUGAGUACGACGGAGCACGUGAAAUUCCGUCGGAAUCUGGGAGGACCAUCUCCUAAGGCUAAAUACUCUCUAGUGACCGAUAGUGAACCAGUACCGUGAGGGAAAGGUGAAAAGCACCCCGGAAGGGGAGUGAAAUAGAACCUGAAACCGUGUGCUUACAAGUAGUCAGAGCCCGUUAAUGGGUGAUGGCGUGCCUUUUGUAGAAUGAACCGGCGAGUUACGAUUUGAUGCAAGGUUAAGCAGUAAAUGUGGAGCCGUAGCGAAAGCGAGUCUGAAUAGGGCGUUUAGUAUUUGGUCGUAGACCCGAAACCAGGUGAUCUACCCUUGGUCAGGUUGAAGUUUAGGUAACACUGAAUGGAGGACCGAACCGACUUACGUUGAAAAGUGAGCGGAUGAACUGAGGGUAGCGGAGAAAUUCCAAUCGAACCUGGAGAUAGCUGGUUCUCUCCGAAAUA